rnacentral:sRNA from 1 species
GAGCAGCUGUCUAUGGAGAUACCUAGGCCGGGAGAGGGAGAACACAGUUGGAGAAAAUCGGCAGCUGAGACGGCCUUGGCCGGACUUAGCACUCAGGCCUGUGAAUCAGGAGAUACAAAGACCUCCAAAAAAGGACCAGUUCCUCGGAUGUGCCCCCUCACAGAGAGAUGAAGGGGCAGCAGAAAACAGCUGAAACGGAAGAGGGGACAGUGCAGAUUCAGGAAGGUGCAGUGGCUACUGGGGAAGACCCAACCAGUGUGGCUAUUGCCAGCAUCCAGUCAGCUGCCACCUUCCCUGACCCCAACGUCAAGUACGUCUUCCGAACUGAGAAUGGGGGCCAGGCGGUGAUCCAGGGUGCUUUCACCAGUGAUGAUGCAGUUGACACGGAGGGGACAGCUGCUGAGACGCACUAUACUUACUUCCCCAGCACGGCAGUGGGAGAUGGGGCAGGGGGUACCACAUCGGGGAGUACAGCUGCUGUUGUUACUACCCAGGGCUCAGAGGCACUGCUGGGGCAGGCGACCCCUCCUGGCACUGGUGAGAUAUUGCAUGAGGAUGCUGGCUGAAAGGGCUAGAAUAGG